rnacentral:rRNA from 1 species
GAAACGACUGCUAAGACUGGAUAGGAAAAGUAAAGGCAUCUUUACUUUUUUAAAAGACCUUCUUUGAAGGCAUGCUUAAGGAGGGGCUUGCGACACAUUAGUUAGUUGGCAGGAUAAAGGCCUACCAAGACUAUGAUGUGUAGCUGGACUGAGAGGUUGAACAGCCACAUUGGGACUGAGACACGGCCCAAACUCCUACGGGAGGCAGCAGUAGGGAAUUUUCGGCAAUGGAGGAAACUCUGACCGAGCAACGCCGCGUGAACGAUGAAGUACCUCGGUAUGUAAAGUUCUUUUAUUAAGGAAGAAAAAAGAGUGGAAAAACUCCCUUGACGGUACUUAAUGAAUAAGCCCCGGCUAAUUAUGUGCCAGCAGCCGCGGUAAUACAUAAGGGGCGAGCGUUAUCCGGAAUUAUUGGGCGUAAAGGGUGCGUAGGCGGUUUAAUAAGUCUAUAGUUUAAUUUCAGUGCUUAACGCUGUUGUGCUAUAGAAACUGUUUUACUAGAGUGAGUUAGAGGCAAGCGGAAUUCCAUGUGUAGCGGUAAAAUGCGUAAAUAUAUGGAGGAACACCAGAGGCGUAGGCGGCUUGCUGGGACUUUACUGACGCUGAGGCACGAAAGCGUGGGGAGCAAACAGGAUUAGAUACCCUGGUAGUCCACGCCGUAAACGAUGAGUACUAAGUGUCGGGUAAAACCGGUACUGAAGUUAACACAUUAAGUACUCCGCCUGAGUAGUACGUACGCAAGUAUGAAACUUAAAGGAAUUGACGGGACUCCGCACAAGCGGUGGAUCAUGUUGUUUAAUUCGAAGAUACACGAAAAACCUUACCAGGUCUUGACAUUUUCUUGCGAAGUUAUAGAAAUAUAAUGGAGGUUAUCAGGAAAACAGGUGGUGCAUGGUUGUCGUCAGCUCGUGUCGUGAGAUGUUAGGUUAAGUCCUAAAACGAGCGCAACCCUUGUCGUUAAUUGCCAGCAUGUAAUGAUGGGGACUUUAACGAGACUGCCAAUGAAAAAUUGGAGGAAGGUGGGGAUUACGUCAAAUCAUCAUGCCCCUUAUGAUCUGGGCUACAAACGUGAUACAAUGGUUGAUACAAAGAGUAGCUGAAACGCGAGUUCUUAGCCAAUCUCACAAAAUCAAUCUUACUUCGGCUUGUAGUAUGCAACUCGACCUCCAUGAAACUGGAAUCGCUAGUAAUCGCGAAUCAGCAUGUCGCGGUGAAUACGUUCUCGGGGUUUGUACACACCGCCCGUCA